AACGAACGCUGGCGGCAUGCCUAACACAUGCAAGUCGAACGAGACCUUCGGGUCUAGUGGCGCACGGGUGCGUAACGCGUGGGAACCUGCCCUUAGGUUCGGAAUAACUCCCCGAAAGGGGUGCUAAUACCGGAUAAUGUCUUCGGACCAAAGAUUUAUCGCCUUUGGGUGGGCCCGCGUUGGAUUAGCUAGUUGGUAGGGUAAUAGCCUACCAAGGCGACGAUCCAUAGCUGGUCUGAGAGGAUGAUCAGCCACACUUGGACUGAGACACGGCCCAGACUCCUACGGGAGGGAGCAGUGGGGAAUAUUGGACAAUGGGCGCAAGCCUGAUACAGCAAUGCCGCGUGAGUGAUGAAGGCCUUAGGGUUGUAAAGCUCUUUUACCCGGGAUGAUAAUGACAGUACCGGGAGAAUAAGCACCGGCUAACUCCGUG
rnacentral:rRNA from 1 species